GUGAUUACGUUGGGACUAGUUGUGGGGUCCAUUCCACGGAUUCCGUGACGCAGCUAACGCAUUAAGUUCCCCGCCUGGGGAGUACGGCCGCAAGGCUAAAACUCAAAGGAAUUGACGGGGACCCGCACAAGCGGCGGAGCAUGCGGAUUAAUUCGAUGCAACGCGAAGAACCUUACCAAGGCUUGACAUAUACGAGAACGGGCCAGAAAUGGUCAACUCUUUGGACACUCGUAAACAGGUGGUGCAUGGUUGUCGUCAGCUCGUGUCGUGAGAUGUUGGGUUAAGUCCCGCAACGAGCGCAACCCUCGUUCUAUGUUGCCAGCACGUAAUGGUGGGAACUCAUGGGAUACUGCCGGGGUCAACUCGGAGGAAGGUGGGGAUGACGUCAAAUCAUCAUGCCCCUUAUGUCUUGGGCUUCACGCAUGCUACAAUGGCCGGUACAAAGGGCUGCAAUACCGCGAGGUGGAGCGAAUCCCAAAAAGCCGGUCCCAGUUCGGAUUGAGGUCUGCAACUCGACCUCAUGAAGUCGGAGUCGCUAGUAAUCGCAGAUCAGCAACGCUGCGGUGAAUACGUUCCCGGGUCUUGUACACACCGCCCGUCAAGUCAUGAAAGUCGGUAACACCUGAAGCCGGUGGCCUAACCCUUGUGGAGGGAGCCGUCGAAGGUGGGAUCGGUAAUUAGGACUAAGUCGUACAAAAGGGGUAACC
rnacentral:rRNA from 1 species